GGCCUUCCUUCCUUCUUCAACAUUCAAAUCUCUGCUGGUGAGUCAACUCUGGCCAAUCCAUUAUUGGCUAGAUGACUCAUCAAAGCUACUCUUCUUCUGACUUAUCAGAAGAACAGGAAGAAUCGGAUGGUGUCCGAGAUGUUUUCUUCUUUUUAUCUGACGAUACUUGGGGAAAUUUUCUGACAUUUUUUUUUAUUUUCAGUGGGUGCACGAUAUGCACGCUUUAG
rnacentral:lncRNA from 1 species